rnacentral:miRNA from 1 species
CAGCACAGCCAUUUUGGACUUCAUCUCCCAGCAUGGGGGCUGGGGGCUGAUGGGAGUUGUAGUCCAAAAUGGCUGUGCUG